AUUGAAUUAAAAAUCAUCAUUAGAAAAGUAAAAGUGAUAAUUGAAGAUCUUUUCCCGACAAUAUAUCUAACACAGACAAACACUAUCUUUAUAAUAAGAUAAUUAUGAGAUAUAUGGUGCUGAUAAGGUCAAGUAAUCUAAUCACCCAAUAGUGUAAAAAAUUAUUGCAUGUCAUACCCUGUUUACCGUAAUAAUAAUUAAUUUUUUCUUGUUUGGUUUGAUUUUGAUUGAUCAAAUCAGCCAACGGCAUAAUUAUAUGUGUAGUGACACCCGAAAGGUCUGAAUUUCGCGGAUUUAGCAUUCUGGAGAGAGAUUUUCUCUUAAAUCUUUCUUCCUUUUUUCGUUUCUCUGGAGUUUUCGCCGAGCUUGUCCUCCGGUGGGCUUCCUUGCUCCUCCAGGCAGGGAAGGCAUUUUAUUUGGCUUGGUUGUAGUCCCUCUCCCUACCUCUUCCCGUUUGUUAAUAGUUUUCGUGAUGGGUUUUCUUGGAGGACCUUGGUUCUUCACGAUGAGGGUGAUUUGUAAAUGGUCUGUGUUCAAAGAAGCUGUUUUGUAGUUUCUUCUUGGGAUGUUGGUUUUCCUGGGCCUAAGAGCUUAGCUUGGUUUGAUGGGAAGGGAUUUCAUGGCUAUGGCAUUAGAAACUCCAGGGCUUUCAUAGCUUUCUCUCUUCUACAGGAAGCUGCCUUAAAAAGGUUAUAUUAGAUUGAGAUAACGGCGAGAUAUUUUGCGUGACCCUCCCGGAGAGGCAAGCUGUGUUGCAGCAUUUGAUGAUUAUUGGAGGUCCGGUUUGUUUAUGGGGUUUGGUUCAAGGGGUCUGUUGGGCCUCCUGUGGUACUCCUUCUGAACUAUAAGUGUUGGAGUUCCUUCUAAAUUGUUUUUUAAGUGUUGGAGUGCUUCUCAUCCCUAGUUGGAGAUCAAUGCAGAUGGUUUGGAUGGCGGUGCUGAGAUGGUUGGGCAGCAGCUUCAUCUCUUUGGGGCCGUAUAUGUACUAGGCUUGUUUCUUUAGUCCUCUUAGUUUUACUCUCAUGUUUCUUGCUGUUAUGCCCUUGUUCUAUCUCUUGCCUCUGAGGCAAUAUCAAUAUUCCACAUUUACAUUUAAAAAAAAAAAAAAAGAAAUUAGGAAUAGCCAAGAAUCCAGCAAGAGCGUAAGACACCUAAACUGAACAUCUAC
rnacentral:misc_RNA from 1 species